CUUUCCCUUCGGGGACUAGGACACAGGUGCUGCAUGGCUGUCGUCAGCUCGUGUCGUGAGAUGUUGGGUUAAGUCCCGCAACGAGCGCAACCCUCGCCAUUAGUUGCCAUCAUUUAGUUGGGAACUCUAAUGGGACUGCCGGUGCUAAGCCGGAGGAAGGUGGGGAUGACGUCAAGUCCUCAUGGCCCUUACAGGGUGGGCUACACACGUGCUACAAUGGCAACUACAGAGGGUU
rnacentral:rRNA from 1 species